UNGCCAGGGUCUACUGUGUGCCUGAGC
rnacentral:piRNA from 1 species